AUGAACGGCGCGAGCGCCGGCUCCGGCUCCGGCGGCGAGGGGCCGCUGGUGUACCAGGCCUGGAAAGGGAACAAUGUGUUUUUCCUCCAGGGGAGGUUUAUAUUUGGACCUGAUGCGAGAUCCUUGUUUGUCACCAUGUUCCUCAUUAUCGCUCCAGUAACAGUCUUCUGUGUGUUCGUCGCGAAAGAAUUGAUGAAUAGCUUCUCUUAUGGCCUGGGGUUACCGGUGAUGGUUGUGGCAGUUGUAUUCACGGCAUAUGAUUUGAGUCUUCUAUUUCUCACUUCUGGGAGGGAUCCAGGAAUCAUACCUCGAAAUGCACAUCCUCCAGAACCUGAAGGUUUUGAAGGCAAUGCUGAAGUUGGAGCUAACCAGACUCCACCAUUGCGUUUGCCCCGAGUGAAGGAUGUUGUUGUGAAUGGAAUCACUGUGAAGACAAAGUACUGUGACACCUGUAUGCUGUACCGGCCUCCUCGAUGCUCCCAUUGCUCUAUCUGCAACAACUGUGUCGAGCGAUUUGACCAUCACUGCCCAUGGGUUGGGCAGUGCAUAGGACUUCGGAAUUACAGGUUCUUUUAUAUGUUCGUCUUCUCGACGACUCUUCUCUGCCUCUAUGUCUUUGGAUUCUCCUGGGUGUACAUUAUUAAGAUCAGAGAUGCGGAGCAGAUAACAAUAUGGAAGGCAAUGGCAAAGACCCCUGCGUCUAUUGCUCUGGUUGUCUAUACGUUUAUCGCGGUUUGGUUUGUUGGUGGCCUCUCAGUGUUUCACUUGUAUCUCAUGAGCACUAACCAGACAACAUAUGAGAACUUCAGGUAUCGCUAUGACCAACGGGCCAACCCAUACAACAGGGGAGUCGUGGAGAACAUCAAGGAGAUCUUCUUCACGCCGAUCCCUGCUUCCAGGAACAACUUCGGCGCCAGAGUUCCACAGGAGCAGGGCCUGAGGCCUCGCUCGACGAACGGUUUCAUGAGCCCAAACAUGGGGAGAGCUGUCGGCGACAUCGAGAUGGGCAGAAAGCCGGUGGCAUGGGAUGAGCCCAGGAUGGCAGCUGAGAUAGGCGACCUGGGAGGUCUGGGCAACUUGCUGGAGGACAAGGAUGGCAGGUUCCGCAACGCAUCACCAGAUCUAAGCCGUGACGCCCUCGUGGUUGGAGGCUUGGAUGAGCAAGGCUCCUCGGUGAUGAACCCACCACGGACGAGCUGGGGAGUCGAAGCGGGCAGGUGA
rnacentral:rRNA from 1 species